rnacentral:lncRNA from 1 species
AACAGAGAAGGGGAGGGAAGCCCCUGUCGGCUGGAAACUAAAGGAACAGAGCAAAGGCAUUAUUUGAGUGUCUUGGGAUGUUCUGUAUUCCAUCUAACAGUGCACUAAAAAAAGAUAAGUUCCUGAGAACAAUUCUGAUUUUGUAGUUCAGUUUAGUUACUUGGCGAUGAGGAACUGGAAUAAAUGUGAAGAACAAACUCUUGAGACAAUAUAGCAGAGA